AACGUAGGUGGCGAGCGUUAUCCGGAUUUACUGGGCGUAAAGGGUGUGCAGGCGGGUGAACAAGUGGGGUAUGAAAGGUUUCGGCUCAACCGAGAUAGGUUAUGCCAGACUGUUUACCUAGAGUGUGAGAGAGGGACGUGGAAUUCCGGGUGUAAUGGUGAAAUGCGCAGAUAUCAGGAGGAACACCGGUGGCGAAGGCGGGUCUCUGGGCCGUAACUGACGCUGAGGAGCGAAAGCGUGGGGAGCGAACAGG
rnacentral:rRNA from 1 species